UUCUAGCUAACGAGUCUCAAAUAGGACGAAACGCGCAUCCUAGAU
rnacentral:hammerhead_ribozyme from 1 species